rnacentral:tRNA from 13 species
GCGGGCGUAGCUCAGUGGUAGAGUCCUAGCUUCCCAAGCUAGUUGUCGUGGGUUCAAAUCCCAUCGCCCGCUCCA